UAUCCCACGUGGUCUAGUGGCUAGGAUAUCUGGCUUUCACCCAGAAGGCCCGGGUUCGAUUCCAUCUUGUCUCUGGACAUCUUGGAUAA
rnacentral:tRNA from 1 species